rfam:Acyrthosiphon pisum strain LSR1 Contig4135, whole genome shotgun sequence.
GAUCGCCGGCUUUACCUGGUACACCGCGUGAACCGCGUGCUGAAGCCGGCGACGGAACCCUAGGCGCUUAGUGGGCCAUUUUUGGUAAGCAGAACUGGCGCUGCGGGAUGAACCGAACGCCGAGUUAAGGCGCCGAAAUCGACGCGUAUUCAGAGACCAUGAAAGGCGUUGGUUGCUGAUGACAGCAGGACGGUGGCCAUGGAAGUCGGAAUCCGCUAAGGAGUGUGUAACAACUCACCUGCCGAAGCAACUAGCUCUGAAAAUGGAUGGCGCUGGAGCGUCGUGCCUAUACUCGGCCGUCGACGGCAUAGUGGGGCCAGUCGUCGCUCGCGGCGGCCGGUCCCGGCAAGCCUCGACGAGUAGGAUGGCGCGGCGGUGUGCGUCGAAGGGCAGGUCGCGAGACCGCCUGGAGCCGCCGUCGGUGCAGAUCUUGGUGGUAGUAGCAAAUACUCGAGAGGGGCCCUCGGGGGCUGCCGUGGAGAAGGGUUUCUUGUGAACAGCCGUUGUCCAAGAGUCAGUCGAUCCUAAGCCCGGGGAGAGAUCCUCGUACCACGGGCGAAGGCGUUUUCGAAUCGCCCUUGGGGCGAGAGGGAAUCCGGUUCGUAUUCCGGAACCCGACGCGGAACCGCUCCCUAGUGUUCGGGGCUCUUUUGUCUCGUCUGGGUAACCAGAAUGAACUCGAAGAAGCCGCCGGGGGAUCUGGGUAGAGUUCUCUUUUCUCUGUGAGCGUUGUACGUCCCUGGAAUCCUCUAGCCGGGCGAUAGGGACGCGAGCGCGAAGAGCACCGCUCGUUGCGGCGGUGUCCGUGAUCCCCACGCGGACCUUGAAAAUUCGAGAGAGGGCCACGCGGAGUCUUCGCGUCGGUUCGUACCGAUAUCCGCAGCAGGUCUCCGAGGUGAGCAGCCUCUAGCCGCAUAGAAUAAUGUAGGUAAGGGAAGUCGGCAAAACCGAUCCGUAACUUCGGGAUAAGGAUUGGCUCUGAGGAGCGUGGCUGCCGGGUUCGGGUCGUCGUAGAAGCGUAGGCGUUUUUGGCGACACCCCGGCCGUCGCCCGUGCGCCCGGUCUUCGGAACGGGAGCCUCGAGGCGGCCGCGGGCCCGUCGCCGUCCGCCGACCGUGGAACCACCGAGCUUCGGUCGCUGGCCGCGUCGCGGCCGGCCGACCGCCUUGGUGUCGGUUCGCCGUCACCGGGCGGUCCGGCCGCCGCGCCGUCGGUCGCGUAGCCGGAUCGACAGCCAUGUAACGGUCAACUCAGAACUGGCACGGACCAGGGGAAUCCGACUGUCUAAUUAAAACAAAGCAUCGCGAUGGCCCGGGACGGGUGUUGACGCGAUGUGAUUUCUGCCCAGUGCUCUGAAUGUCAACGUGAAGAAAUUCAAGCAAGCGCGGGUAAACGGCAGGAGUAACUAUGACUCUUUUAAGGUAGCCAAAUGCCUCGUCAUCUAAUUAGUGACGCGCAUGAAUGGAUUAACGAGAUUCUCACUGUCCCUAUCUACUAUCUAGCGAAACCACAGCCAAGGGAACGGGCUUGGAAAAAUCAGCGGGGAAAGAAGACCCUGUUGAGCUUGACUCUAAUCUGGCAUUGUUCGGAGACAUGCCGAGGUGUAGCAUACGUGGGAGACCCGGACCAAGGCGGGCGGUUUCGGCCGUUCGUCUCCGGGCCGACCUUGAAAUACCACUACUCGCAUCGUUUCCCCACUUACUCGGUAGAGCGGAACGCGCGGUUCCGGCCGCGGGCGCGUCCGGCCGGCGGUCGUCGUCCCGUCGCGUCGUCGGUUUGCCGUCGGUUCGCCGGCGCGCUACUGGCGCGCGGCGUGGUCGCCGUGCCGUCGGCCUGUGCCCGUUCGUGCCGGGCCGCGGUUGAUAUUCCGGUAGCGUUAAGCACCAGCCGAGGGAUCCGGGCGUCAAACCGCGGACCGCGUCCGUCCGCGUACGGCCGACCGUCAAAAGUCGCCGUCCGCGUUCGCGGCGUAUCCGCGGGCCCGGUCCCUGGUGCGAUCCGUAUUCCGAGGACACCGCCAGGUGGGGAGUUUGACUGGGGCGGUACAUCUGUCAAAAAAUAACGCAGUGUCCUAAGGCCAGCUCAGCGAGGACGGAAACCUCGCGUAGAGCAAAAGGGCAAAUGCUGGCUUGAUCCCGGACGCUCAGUACGCGUAGGGACUGCGAAAGCAUCGGCCUCUCGAUCCUCUCGUCCGCUGAAGAGUUUCAGCGAGAGGUGUCAGAAAAGUUACCACAGGGAUAACUGGCUUGUGGGCGGCCAAGCGUUCAUAGCGACGUCGCUUUUUUGGAUCUUCGAUG